CGCCUUGCCAGCCCGCUCAGAAACUUAAAGGAAUUGACGGGGCCCGCACAAGCGGUGGAGUAUGUGGUUUAAUUCGAUGCAACGCGAAGAACCUUACCUGGUCUUGACAUCCCGGAGACCCUUAGGAAACUAGGGGGUGCUUCCAUCUGGAAGAAUCUGGAGACAGGUGCUGCAUGGCUGUCGUCAGCUCGUGUCGUGAGAUGUUGGGUUAAGUCCCGCAACGAGCGCAACCCUUGCCUUUAGUUGCCAGCAGUUCGGCUGGGCACUCUAAAGGGACUGCCGGUGUUAAACCGGAGGAAGGUGGGGAUGACGUCAAGUCCUCAUGGCCUUUAUGACCAGGGCUACACACGUACUACAAUGGCCGAUACAAAGGGCAGCGACACUGCGAGGUGAAGCCAAUCCCGUAAAAUCGGUCUCAGUCCGGAUUGGAGUCUGCAACUCGACUCCAUGAAGUUGGAGUCGCUAGUAAUCGUGGAUCAGCAUGCCACGGUGAAUACGUUCCCGGGCCUU
rnacentral:rRNA from 1 species